rnacentral:tRNA from 1 species
GGGGGGGUAGCUCAGUGGUAGAGCGCGUGCUUAGCAUGCACGAGGCCCUGGGUUCAAUCCCCAGCACCUCCA